rnacentral:rRNA from 1 species
UGGCAGUGGCGGACGGGUGAGUAACGCGUAGGAAUCUAUCCUUGGGUGGGGGACAACCGUGGGAAACUACGGCUAAUACCGCAUGAUCCCUGAGGGGCAAAGGCGAAAGUCGCCUGAGGAGGAGCCUGCGUCUGAUUAGGUAGUUGGUGGGGUAAAGGCCUACCAAGCCUGCGAUCAGUAGCUGGUCUGAGAGGAUGAUCAGCCACACUGGGACUGAGACACGGCCCAGACUCCUACGGGAGGCAGCAGUGGGGAAUAUUGGACAAUGGGCGCAAGCCUGAUCCAGCAAUGCCGCGUGGGUGAAGAAGGUCUUCGGAUUGUAAAGCCCUUUUGGCAGGGACGAUGAUGACGGUACCUGCAGAAUAAGCUCCGGCUAACUUCGUG